UCCCCAUUAUCUGAAAAUCAGCCGCCUCCUUCUCCUCUCCCUUCUCUCUACCUUCUCUCUCUCUAAACCAAUUAAAACCGCCGUCGUCCCCCGUCACCGACGAACCAGCCCCCAUCGAACCAGUCCUCUGUUGCUGACGCCGGCGGACAGAAACAACCACUACCGCCGGCGAAUACCACCGGCUGCCGCCACCAUCUUCAACAGCUGUCUUCCACCAGAGAAGCAACCGUUCAGCCGCCGCCUUAUCAUCUUCUCCAUCACAAGCCGCGACCAGAAACAGUACCGUACCGCCACUCCUCGACGCCCUCUCCCUCUUCUAUUAUCUUCUCCACUGGCGAAAUCCCUUAAAACAGCGACACUAACGGCCGUAGCCCGCUCCAGCCGCGGCCACCACCGCUAUUAUCAGUGAAAUAUCGUUGGAAAUUCUUAAAUGCAUGACAGAUUUACGAAAUCCGUCCCAGGACAAGGAGGAGAACAAAGUGCACAUAGAUCUUAUUUUUAUGUCACGAAGAUAAAGAGGUGGUUUUUGAAAGAUCUCGAAUCUGGUAAAGUUGAGUUUGAGUAGUUGUCUCAAAACUAUUUGUAAUGAUAAUAACUUGGUAUCUUUUACCACUUAUCCCUGAGAUAGAUCAUACUCUCCAAAAUCACAAAAUUGACCAAUGUAACGGAGAAGCUACUAGCAUCUCCACAAAAUUGCAAGAAGAAAAUCUUAUGUUUGAACAUGCCUCACAUCAAGUUUCAGAAGUUUCAAUAUAAAUCAAAAUGGAAAAGAAGGUUUUCCAAACUAGCAAUAUGAAUCUAUGCAAUAUGAAUUCAGAUCAGAAUCCUAAGGAUAUUUGAAAAAAGGAGCAAAAUUGUUGAGUCUAUUGCGAAAGAGGUAGUCUAUCUGUUCAAUGUCCGAGCCCCUGCAGGCAUUCAAGUAUAUAUAUAGCAGCUGGAGGAUUAGGUUUGUUUUAUUUUCUAUCCUUUAGUUUUAAUGUAUCGAUGUAGAAUGCAUUUAGUGUUAUGAAUGUUACAAAACUCUAUUUUGGUGAGUAUCGAUGAAGGGGUACAAUUGAAAAAUUAUGCUACUUCCUUCGUAAUUGUUACAUUUUACUUUUUGAAAGUCAAUUUAAUUUAUUUUUA